GACCUCAACAGCUAGCCCACCUAAAAAAUUCAACAAACAACAUUAAUUAACCCAAUAUUUACUUUUAACCCAAGAAUAAAUCAUUCUUCCCCCUUAGUAUGGGAGACAGAAAAG
rnacentral:rRNA from 1 species